rnacentral:rRNA from 1 species
UACGGAGGGUGCAAGCGUUAUCCGGAUUCACUGGGUUUAAAGGGUGCGUAGGUGGGUUGGUAAGUCAGUGGUGAAAUCCCCGAGCUUAACUUGGGAACUGCCAUUGAUACUAUCAAUCUUGAAUACCGUGGAGGUCAGCGGAAUAUGUCAUGUAGCGGUGAAAUGCUUAGAUAUGACAUAGAACACCAAUUGCGAAGGCAGCUGGCUAAACGAAUAUUGACACUGAGGCACGAAAGCGUGGGGAUCAAACAGG